AUGUUUACCACAGCGGACCGUGCAGUUUUGAUUCUCUUCCUCCUACUGCCUCACUUUGGCUUCGUCCUAACUUACGGCCCUAGGCCACGUCCUUGUGAAGACGAUUCCAAUUGCACUAUAUCAAUUGGAGACACAGGCACGACGCCGGGUCACGAUGCCGACGGGCAGAAGCCGCCGCUUGCCUGCGCUUCACCAGCCGCCAAGCCCAGAAGUUCCAGCUGGGCCUCCAUGCUCGGGGGAGUUUUCGCAGUUGGGAUGUAUGCAACCGCCUAACUUCGGGGCACCCUCAAUGCAUUUCUUCUCUCCGCCGAUGCUUCUCCUUAUGCUUCUUCUCGGGGCACGUGGCCGAAUGCAGGCAGCGUCUAGGAUGAUGCCUUGGAUGCUGCGUUCACACAUGAGGCCCGCUCCGCCAGUGCACAUCGGCCGACGCCCUGGAUCGCUUCUGUUUCUUCUGCUGCGCCACUUCAUGACGUCGUACCCGAAAUGUGCAGCUUAGAAGCCACUAGCACUUGUUGCAUAGACGGUUCGCUAGCCACAAUGGACUUGAUCAUUGUAGUUUUAAUAGAUGUUAAUAAAUCGC